rnacentral:rRNA from 1 species
UCUGGUUGAUCCUGCCAGUAGUGAUAUGCUUGUUUCAAAGAUUAAGCCAUGCAUGUCUAAGUAUAAGCGAACUUAUACAGUGAAACUGCGGAUGGCUCAUUAAAACAGUUUGAAUUUAUUUGAUGAAUGUAUGAGAAUACUACUUGGAUAACCGUAGUAAUUCUAGAGCUAAUACAUGCAACGACGCCCGACCGUUUCACUACGGAAGGGCUGUAUUUAUUGGAUACCAAAACCAUCCUUCCCUCGGGAAGUUUUGUUUGAUGAUUCACAAUAACUGAUCGGAUCGCCACUGUGGUGGCGACAGGUCAUUCAACAUUCUGCCCUAUCAGCUUUCGAUGGUUGUGUAGUGGACAACCAUGGCCAUAACGGGUAACGGAGAAUCAGGGUUCGAUUCCGGAGAAGGAGCUUGAGAAUUGGCUACUACAUCUAAGGAAGGCAGCAGGCGCGCAAAUUACCCAAUCCCGAUUCGGGGAGGUAGUGACAAAAAAUAACAAUACCGGGCCUUUUUGGGCUUGGUAAUUGGAAUGAGGGAGAGUUAAACGGACCAUCGAGUAUCCAUUGGAGGGCAAGUCUGGUGCCAGCAGCUGCGGUAAUACCAGCUCCAAUAGCGUAUAUUAAAGUUGCUGCAGUUAAAAAGCUCGUAGUUGGACUUGUGUGCGCUGUCCGCGGGUGGCCUGCGCCCAAAAGGGCGUUUCGGUUCGGCCCCGGUGGCGCCUUGAAAUCUGCAGCUGGGGGGACGUUGGCCUUAACUGGUCGGCGACCGCACGCCGGCUGCUCGGUUACUGUGAGAAAAUUAGAGUGUUCAAGUCAGGCAUUGGGUGCAAUUGAAUACAUUAGCAUGGAAUAAUAAAAUAUGGCUCCUGCCGUAUUUUGUUGGUUUUGACUGGUGGGAGUAGUGAUUGAUAGGGACGGUUGGGGGUGCUAGUAUUGAGCGGCCAGAGGUGAAAUUCAUGGAUUCGCUCAAGACUAACUUAUGCGAAAGCAUUCACCAAGGACGUCCUCUUUAAUCAAGAACGAAAGUUGGGGGAUCGAAGACGAUCAGAUACCGUCGUAGUCUCAACCAUAAACUAUGUCGACUUGGGAUCGGCGGUAGUUUUUUCAUUAAGACACUGUCGGGACCACGGGAGAAAUCAAAGUGUCUGGACUCUGGGGGAAGUAUGGUCGCAAGGCUGAAACUUGAAGGAAUUGACGGAAGGGCACCACCAGGAGUGGAGCCUGCGGCUUAAUUUGACCCAACACGGGGAAACUUACCAGGUCCAGAGAUGUAGAGGAUUGACAGAUUGAAGCUCUUUCUUGAUCA